GACGAACGCUGGCGGCGUGCUUAACACAUGCAAGUCGAACGGAAAGGCCCUGCUUUUGUGGGGUGCUCGAGUGGCGAACGGGUGAGUAACACGUGAGUAACCUGCCCUUGACUUUGGGAUAACUUCAGGAAACUGGGGCUAAUACCGGAUAGGAUCUCCUGCUGCAUGGUGGGGGUUGGAAAGAUUCGGCGGUUGGGGCUGGUCUCGCGGCUUAUCAGCUUGUUGGUGGGGUAGUGGCUUACCAAGGCUUUGACGGGUAGCCGGCCUGAGAGGGUGACCGGCCACAUUGGUACUGAGAUACGGCCCAGACUCCUACGGGAGGCAGCAGUGGAGAGUAUUGCGCAAUGGGGGGAAGCCUGAUGCAGCGACGCCGCGUGCGGGAUGACGGCCUUCGGGUUGUAAACCGCUUUCGCCUGUGACGAAGCGUGAGUGACGGUAAUGGGUAAAGAAGCACCGGCUAACUACGUG
rnacentral:rRNA from 1 species